rnacentral:tRNA from 5 species
GGCGGGGUAGCUCAGUUGGUUAGAGCACACGGCUCAUAAUCGUGGUGUCGCGGGUUCAAUUCCCGCUCCCGCUACAA